UCCGAACACCGAAGUUAAGCAACGUCGAGCCUGGCCAGUACUUAAAUAGGUGACCGAUUGGGAAUACCAGGUGCUAU